ACAAAGGAGAGAACUGCAGAGAUGAAGAAAAAUAUGAAGAGUAUUGGAAGCAGUAUGGGUGCACUCUUAUGUCUGAUGGAUGGACGGAUAAACGGGAAAUGCACUUAAUUAAUUUUCUCGUUAACUGUCCAUAGGGGACUUAUUUCAUGGGAUCUGUUGAUGCAUCUGGUAUGGUUUAAAGUGCACAAAUGCUAUUUGAAUUGAUUGAUAGAAAAAUUGAUGAGAUUGG